rnacentral:rRNA from 1 species
UUGCUAGAAGAUGACGAGUGGCGGACGGGUGAGUAAUGCUUGGGAACUUGCCUUUGCGAGGGGGAUAACAGUUGGAAACGACUGCUAAUACCGCAUAAUGUCUUCGGACCAAACGGGGCUUCGGCUCCGGCGCAAAGAGAGGCCCAAGUGAGAUUAGCUAGUUGGUAAGGUAACGGCUUACCAAGGCGACGAUCUCUAGCUGUUCUGAGAGGAAGAUCAGCCACACUGGGACUGAGACACGGCCCAGACUCCUACGGGAGGCAGCAGUGGGGAAUAUUGCACAAUGGGGGAAACCCUGAUGCAGCCAUGCCGCGUGUGUGAAGAAGGCCUUCGGGUUGUAAAGCACUUUCAGUUGUGAGGAAAAGUUAGUAGUUAAUACCUGCUAGCCGUGACGUUAACAACAGAAGAAGCACCGGCUAACUCCGUGCCAGCAGCCGCGGUAAUACGGAGGGUGCGAGCGUUAAUCGGAAUUACUGGGCGUAAAGCGCACGCAGGCGGUUUGUUAAGCUAGAUGUGAAAGCCCCGGGCUCAACCUGGGAUGGUCAUUUAGAACUGGCAGACUAGAGUCUUGGAGAGGGGAGUGGAAUUCCAGGUGUAGCGGUGAAAUGCGUAGAUAUCUGGAGGAACAUCAGUGGCGAAGGCGACUCCCUGGCCAAAGACUGACGCUCAUGUGCGAAAGUGUGGGUAGCGAACAGGAUUAGAUACCCUGGUAGUCCACACCGUAAACGCUGUCUACUAGCUGUGUGUGUCUUUA